GCCGCGGUAGCUCAGCUGGUAGAGCAACGCAUUCGUAAUGCGUGGGUCGGGGGUUCGAAUCCCUUCCGCGGCACCA
rnacentral:tRNA from 20 species